rnacentral:rRNA from 1 species
CCUACGGGAGGCAGCAGUGAGGAAUAUUGGUCAAUGGCCGGGAGGCUGAACCAGCCAAGUCGCGUGAGGGAAGACGGCCCUACGGGUUGUAAACCUCUUUUGUCAGGGAGCAAGGUGCAGGUCGGGACCUGCUGUGAGAGUACCUGAAGAAAAAGCAUCGGCUAAACACGGGCCAGCAGCCGCGGUAAUACGGUGGGUCCGAGCGUUAACCGGAUUUAUUGGGUUUAAAGGGUGCGUAGGCGGCAUGUUAAGUCAGCGGUGAAAGGCUCUGGCUCAACGCGAGAAUUGCCGUUGAAACUGGGAGGCUGGAGUGUGUGAGAGGCAGGUGGAAUGCGUGGUGUAGCGGUGAAAUGCGUAGAUAUCACGAGGAACCUCAGUGGCGAAGGCGACCAGCCAGGCCAUAACUGACGCUGAUGCACGAAAGCGUGGGGAUCAAACAGGAUUAGAUACCCCUGUAGUC